UACGUAGGGAGCAAGCGUUGUCCGGAAUCAUUGGGCGUAAAGCGCGCGUAGGCGGCCUUGUAAGUCCGUUGUGAAAGUCAAAGGCUCAACCUUUGAAAGCCGAUGGAUACUGCAGGGCUAGAGUCCGGAAGAGGCGAGUGGAAUUCCUGGUGUAGCGGUGGAAUGCGCAGAUAUCAGGAGGAACACCAAUAGCGAAGGCAGCUCGCUGGGACGGUACUGACGCUGAGACGCGAAAGCGUGGGGAGCAAACAGG
rnacentral:rRNA from 1 species